ACGCAACGCGCAGACCUUACCUGGGCUUGACAUCCCGAUCGCAUCCCAUGGAAACAUGGGAGUCAGUUCGGCUGGAUCGGUGACAGGUGCUGCAUGGCUGUCGUCAGCUCGUGUCGUGAGAUGUUGGGUUAAGUCCCGCAACGAGCGCAACCCUCGACCUUAGUUGCCAGCAUUCAGUUGGGCACUCUAAGGUGACUGCCGGCUAAAAGUCGGAGGAAGGUGGGGAUGACGUCAAGUCCUCAUGGCCCUUAUGGGUAGGGCUUCACACGUCAUACAAUGGUCGGUACAGAGGGUUGCCAACCCGCGAGGGGGGAGCUAAUCCCACAAAGCCGAUCGUAGUCCGGAUCGCAGUCUGCAACUCGACUGCGUGAAGUCGGAAUCGCUAGUAAUCGUGGAUCAGCAUGUCACGGUGAAUACGUUCCCGGGUCUU
rnacentral:rRNA from 1 species